rnacentral:tRNA from 1 species
UCCCUCGGUAGUAUAGUGGUUUGUAUUCCCGCCUGUCACGCGGGGCGACCGGGGUUCGAUUCCCGCCGGGGAG